rnacentral:tRNA from 2 species
GCCCUGGUGGUGGAAUUGGUAGACACAAGGGAUUUAAAAUCCCUCGAAUUUCGAUUCGUGCCGGUUCAAGUCCGGCCCGGGGCACCA